AGAAUGGCUCUAUUCAGAGCCAUUAAAAACUCAGCAAAGGUGACAG
rfam:Apaloderma vittatum contig2779, whole genome shotgun sequence.